AAGUUCAUCUCAAGCCCUUCCUCUGUUCCAUUACUAAGAAAGUUAAGGAUCUUGAUGAGCAAUCUUCAGACAGUUGAUUUGAAAGGCCUUAUAAAUCAACAAAAAUUAGCAUUUUGGAUCAACUUGUAUCAUGCAUAUGUGCAAUUUUGGUUGUAAGCCAUGGGGAUCCCCUGCAAAUCUUGCAAACAAUUCUGCUUGCUGCUAAUAAACACAAGGGUCCCUCUUAUGAUGACUUAGCUUCAAUGUUAGAGGCAGUUUAGGUGGCACCGAUCUCGUCCCAGCACUGCCAAUACACAAUGCAAACUGGAGAGCUCAAGGGAGUCAUUUAAGGUUUAGCAUAGAGCCAACUUACUCUUUUGGUUGGAUUUGGAUCCCAUAUUCUAUUAUUUACUUUUAUAUUCAUAACCAAAAAUUUUUGGAGUAUUUAUCAAAUAUUUUGUUUAGGAAGAUGAUUAGUUCUAUAUAAAAUUAGUUUGCAAUUUAUCACAAUAAAUGUUAAGAAAUUUAUUAUAUCUUCUGUUGAAAGUUUA